UGAAGCUGAUGGGUUACAGCAGCAAAGUUAGCCCCAAAUUCAAAGUAUGAUGCAUAUCAGUAUUUAAAGGGACUUGCCAUUAAGGUGUGUCCAUACUGCUAAGGAGUCAAGAACCAUGCAGACACAAAUGAGAGUCUUGCUGGGCCUCCUGUGGCUACAGACUUGCUGGGUAAGAGUCCAGAUGAAUGUGGAGCAGAGUCCUGGGGUCCUGAACCUCCAAGAGGGGAGAAAUACUUCUAUGAUGUGCAAUUAUUCUAGCAUCAUAACCAGUGUGCAGUGGUUCCAACAAAAUCCUGAAGGACACCUCGUAUCCUUGUCGUACAUCACUUCUGGAAUGCAGCGAAAAGGAAGACUAAUAUUCACGCUCAACUUCCAGGAACGUAAUAGCCACCUGCAUAUCACAGACUUGCAGCCUGGGGACUCAGGCACUUAUUUCUGCACUGUGGACACACAGUGCUCUGCAGACACCUGUGGCCUGUACAUGAAGCCAUAGCUGGAGACUAACCCAACCCACAGAGCGGGGGGCAGGGGCCCAAUAUGAUCAGAAUUGUGUGUCCAUUGCCUUGUCUCUCCUGGUUCAUGCAGAAAGCAUUUCUAAAUGAGCUACAACUUGACACUACAGUGCAGGCAUGUACGUGGCUCAUCCUGAGAUCUCCAUGGGGCUAGUGUUACUAGGUAAAUACUGUAGACUGAUCAACUCUCUCAUAUCUGCUUCUGUCUUUCUGGGCAGAAUGAGCAGUCAACUCAACGUGGAGCAGAGCCUCCCUCCUUCAUCUCUACAAGCAAGAAAAUACCAAUCUCACCUAUAUCUCCUGGGCAUCUUUCUAACUUA